rnacentral:rRNA from 1 species
UACGUAGGGUGCAAGCGUUAAUCGGAAUUACUGGGCGUAAAGCGCGCGCAGGCGGUCCUUUAAGUCUGAUGUGAAAGCCCACGGCUCAACCGUGGAGGGUCAUUGGAAACUGGGGGACUUGAGUGCAGAAGAGGAGAGUGGAAUUCCACGUGUAGCGGUGAAAUGCGUAGAGAUGUGGAGGAACACCAGUGGCGAAGGCGACUCUCUGGUCUGUAACUGACGCUGAGGCGCGAAAGCGUGGGGAGCAAACAGG